GAUGAACGCUGGCGGCGUGCCUAAUACAUGCAAGUCGAGCGAACAGACGAGGAGCUUGCUCCUCUGACGUUAGCGGCGGACGGGUGAGUAACACGUGGAUAACCUACCUAUAAGACUGGGAUAACUUCGGGAAACCGGAGCUAAUACCGGAUAAUAUAUUGAACCGCAUGGUUCUAUAGUGAAAGACGGUUUUGCUGUCACUUAUAGAUGGAUCCGCGCCGCAUUAGCUAGUUGGUAAGGUAACGGCUUACCAAGGCAACGAUGCGUAGCCGACCUGAGAGGGUGAUCGGCCACACUGGAACUGAGACACGGUCCAGACUCCUACGGGAGGCAGCAGUAGGGAAUCUUCCGCAAUGGGCGAAAGCUUGACGGAGCAACGCCGCGUGAGUGAUGAAGGUCUUCGGAUCGUAAAACGCUGUUAUUAGGGAAGAACAAAUGUGUAAGUAACUAUGCACGUCUUGACGGUACCUAAUCAGAAAGCCACGGCUAACUACGU
rnacentral:rRNA from 1 species